rnacentral:rRNA from 1 species
GACAGAGGUCCCGAGCGUUAGGCGGAAUCACUGGGCUUAAAGCGUGUGUAGGCGGAUGCCUAAGUACCUUGUGAAAUCCCACGGCUCACCCGUGGAACUGCUUGGUAUACUGGGUGUCUUGAGCCACUUAGGGGCUACCGGAACAAAUGGUGGAGCGGUGAAAUGCGUAGAUAUCAUUUGGAACGCCAAUGGUGAAAACAGGUGGCUGGGAGUGUGCUGACGCUGAGACACGAAAGCCAGGGGAGCAAACGGG